rnacentral:rRNA from 1 species
CGCCUGUUUAACAAAAACAUGGUCUUUUGUUAAUUAAUAUAAGAUCAGGCCUGCCCAUUGAUUUAUUUAAAUUAAAAGGCUGCAGUAUUUUAACUGUACGAAGGUAGCAUAAUCAUUUGUCUUUUAAUUGGAGGCUAGUAUGAAUGGUUUGAUGAGAAUUUAACUUUCUUUAAUUAAUUUAAUUGAAUUUAAUAUUUUAGUUAAAAAGCUGAAAUAUUUGUAUUGGACGAGAAGACCCUAUAGAAAUUUACUUUCUAUAUAUAGGUUUAUUUUUUGGUUUUAUAAUAAUUUUAUUUAUUAGAUAGUUUUGUUGGGGCGACAGUGAAACUUAUUUAACUUUCAUUAAUUUUUAACAUUAAUUUAUGUUUUGAUCCAGUUAUAUUGAUUAUAAGAUUAAUUUACCUUAGGGAUAACAGCGUAAUUUUUUCGGAGAGUUCUUAUUGAUGAAAAAGUUUGCGACCUCGA